GGAACACUUAGACCUGGUUGGUAGGAGGCAAGACCUGUCCAACCUGAACAUACAAAAUCCAAAACUGUGACAGAACCCUAAUAAUCCCUGUUAUGCAGAUCUUUACGUGCCAUCCACAAACGGGUGGUGGUCUUGCAACAGAAGAAUAGGGGAGGAAACACAGCAGAGCACACAAGAAAGAAAGAAGAUAAAUUAUUUCCAUAUUUUAAUGUCGCUAGCAUUAAGAUGAACUAUUUCUACCAUUACGCUAACUGUAAAAAAGAUUCCUUUGUUGUUCA